UUGUGCCAGCAGCUGCGGUUAGACCUUAGAAGACUUGGGGAGUAAUUGGCCUUGUAGUUAUAGUAAAUAUAUUGGUAACUAUAUUUUUUAAAUUUUUAUAGAGGUGAAAUUUUUAUUUUUAGAUUAAUUAAUAUAGUGUUUAAUUGGUUUAGAAGCUACUAAUAUUUAGAUAUAAACCAGGAUUAGAUACCCUGUUAUACUUUGUAUAGAAAUGUGUGGCCGGGGUAGUAAUUAGUUAUGGGCUAUAAAUCUAAAGGAUUUGGCGGUAUUCAAGUCUAGUUAGAGGAGCCUGCACUUUAAAUGAUGAUCCACGAAUAAUCUUACUUUGUCUUGUCACUCAGUUUGUAUACCGUCAUUAUGAAGUAAUAACUAGAGUUAUUUAGCUGAAAUAGAAGAGUUUUAUUUAUAUUAGAUCAAGGUGCAGCUGAUGAUAAAGUGGUUGUGGGCUACAGUAUUAAUAUAAAUAGUACGGAUAAAAUUUUGAAAGAGAUUUUGGAAGGUGGAUUUAAUAGUAAAUUUAUGUUUAAUAAGGUAUAUUGAUAAAAGCUCUAGAAUAUGUACAUAUCGCCCGUCGCUCUCGUUUUAAGGUGAGAUAAGUCGUAACAAAGUAGGGAAAC
rnacentral:rRNA from 1 species